rnacentral:rRNA from 1 species
UACAGAGGUCUCAAGCGUUGUUCGGAUUCAUUGGGCGUAAAGGGUGCGUAGGUGGCGUCGUAAGUCAGGUGUGAAAUUUCGGAGCUUAACUCCGAAACUGCAUUUGAUACUGCGGUGCUUGAGGACUGGAGAGGAGACUGGAAUUUACGGUGUAGCAGUGAAAUUCGUAGAUAUUCGGAGGAACACCAGUGGCGAAGGCGGCUCACUGGUCCGGUACUGACGCUGAGGUGCGAAAGCGUGGGGAGCAAACAGG